AUACAGAGGGUGCAAACGUUGUUAGGAAUCACUGGGCUUAAAACGCGCGUAGGCGGCGACAUCAGUGUCUUGAGAAAGCCCCCGGCUCAACCGGGGAACUGCAGGGCAUACUGUGUUGCUAGAGUACGAGAGGGGAGAGGAGAACUCCUGGUGGAGCGGUGGAAUGCGUAGAUAUCAGGAGGAAUGCCGAAGGUGAAGACACCUCUCUGGCUCGUAACUGACGCUAAGGCGCGAAAGCUAGGGUAGCGAACGGGAUUAGAUACCCCGGUAGUCC
rnacentral:rRNA from 1 species